CCAGCAUCCCUAUAGAGACUGGUCACUCAACCUUUUGCUGAGGAUAAUGAGAUACUGCAUGGAGUCAACUCAUUAAAGAGACAAUGACUGAUAACCCAUUGUCUGUAAAAGGGGUAUCUUUGGGAUCAGGAGGAAGAGUGGAUGCUGACCAGCUUCCCAGUGCAAGACUCUCAUUACCCAAAGCUGAACAGCUAACUUCUCAAGGGAGCAACACUUGAUACCUUACCUACCGUACAUGCCAUUAUAACACAGAAGUGCUUGUGUCUACCAGAGUGUGACAUAAGUGUUUAUAAAUUUUGUUACUUUGAAUGAAUCAUCUUUGUCUCAGUUGUCUUUGAAUGACUGACUGUAGAAGAAAUCGAAUGAUGAAGGAUUGUGAGAAAUGAUGUGAAGUAGGAAGAAAUGGAGGGACCCUAAGGUACCCCUACUAUUGAUGCACCGGCAGAAGAUGGAGGUAUGCUGGUCUGAGAUGGCAGCAGGUGUCUGUAAGAAGUGUGAGAUUUCUGCUUAGUGUGCUUCUGACCCAUGUUGUACAUUUGGAGAGUAUAAAUACCAGCAAACUGCUGGAGUUCUGCAAGCAAUCCGGAGAAAUACUUUCAAAUAUAAAGGAAAGAAAAUUUACAUAACAUGACUAUUUAGCAUCCACCAAAAAUGCAAGAAGAAAUGGAAUAAUGUGUUCAGAAGAGCAGUGGAACUCAGGAUGCAGCCCAGGGAGCUCUAUCCUGCCAAUUUGAACUUAACCAUAAAUGAAAGAAAAUGGACAUUCAAUAAUAAAGAGGUGUUUGCAACAUUUUGAGGAAGAAAACCAGAACUGAAGAGCUGAUUUGCUUCUUGAACACUCCAGCCAAUGAAGAUGCAGAAGUGAAUUAAUUCAGCAGCUGAGGACAACUGCAGCUGAGGGACAGCAGAGAGACCAGCAAGAAACUUCUUUCUAAAUGCACACAAGGAGACCAGAGAAGGCAGAAGUCUGGUGGAGGUUGCAGUGGAAAGACCCAGCUCAACUAUUGAUGAGGAGUGAGGCUAAACCAAGAUGUCUACUAAAAUAGAAGAAGGGAAACAAGGUAAAGACUUAGCAAGCUGGAUAAACUGAUGAUUGGGGCAAAAAUACUAUGGAAGGAGCUUCACUCAGUAGGUAUGAGAUUAUACUGGAGGGUGUUCUUACCACUAGGUAACUGUUUCUUCUUUCUGUUCAUCCUGAUACAAGAGAGGGCGCAGUGAAAUAGAAGGCAAGAUGGCAGGGAUGUUUGAAGGCUGAUCCCUUGGAAGGAGCUCUACCAGCCUGAGCAGAAUGAAUAGACUGGCUCUGGAGAGAAUCAGACUUAACACCAGUACCUUGGACAUCACCAAAGAAACAAGGAGAGCAACUGGGCGUGUGGGGGAGCUCCUGCUGGUGGCCUAGGUUGGUGGUAUCUUCUCUGUGAUUGAGCUUUAGAGAGUUGCCCAGAGCACUGAAAUGAGAAGUGACUUAUCCAGGGUCAUGAAGCCACUGUGUCAAAGCAGGGACUGGAACCCAGGGCUUCUUUGCUCUGAGGUAAUUUAUCUCCUAUUCCUUACUGCCUCUUGAAGCAUGUAAAUAUUUUCAAAGAGCUUUGCUUAAAACAACCCAAGGAGAUAGGUUGAUCGGGUAUUAUCACCCCCAUUUUACAUAAGAGAAAGUUGAGGUUCUGAGAUGUUAGGUGAGAUUCCAAUAAGGUCAGUGAUUAGCUCAGGGUCUCAUAGGAGUUAGAAUUAGGACUCCAGCUCAUGUCAGUCUCUAACAAUGGUUCCAGUACUCUCUCCCCUUCUAUCACCAGUCCAAGAUUACAUAGAACCUGGCUUCAUAGGUACAGAAAUUUAGUGAUGGAAGGAAUCCUAGAGGCCAAUGAGUAUAACAUGUGAAGAAGUUGAGGCACAGAUACAAUAAUUGUCUAAGGUGGGAUUUGAACCCAAGUCUUAGUGACCCCUAAGUCUACUGCCUCCCCAUUCCAGAUGAGGAACAUGUGGUGUGGGAUCCCAGGUGCCCAUCUCCAGGGAUUUCAAGAAGAUUUGGCAACAGGAAGCUAGAGGAUUGUCAAGUUCAAAGCUGGAAGGCUUGUGAGAAGUCUCCUCGCCCAAAUUUUAGAUCUUGGGGAGUGGAGAGGAAAGAGUGCUAUUUCUCUCGGGGUUUAGGCUAGGAAGAGAACUUUAUGAUUUCAUGAGACAGCAUCAUUUAAAUUAGAGGCUCAGGGUUGCAGAGCCAUUGCUUGGGCAUUCUAGUGUGAUGGCUUACCUUGAGGAAAAAGCCCUCUGAAUUUUUCUUUUAACUGAAUCUUUAAUUGAAUAAAUUCUUCCCUCCCAUUCCCUAUCCCCCCCAAUCCCUUUACAAAUUCUAAUUCCCCC